GUGGAGCGUGAGUAGGCUGCCGCCUGUGGGAGGUGGUUUGGUGUGAGGUGCUUGUCACCGUUCGUUGCAUCCUGGGCAGUUAACGCGGCCUAGCAGCUCUGCUGGCAGCCAUCUGACACCUGGUCAGUGACAUCACAGUCAAGAUGGCAUCGCGACCCAAUCCGGCCGCCAAGCUAGCCGAGAUGAGCCGACAGCAGGCCCUGAUCGAGCAGAAGCGGCGCGAGAUCGAGGCCCGCCGACUGGCUGCUGCCGGCGGCGGCGCGAGCGGCCCGGCUGCCGCCGCCGGCAGGGGUGGACCCUCGGCGGCCAGCGGCUCGCUGGCAGCGGAUGGGCCGUCGGUAGCCAGCCUCAGCGCCAGCAGCAGCGCACGGCGCCUCUUCGAGGCACACAAGCAGAGCUUCCGCCCAGCGCCUAAGAGGCCUGCCAACACGGAAUCGGCCCCUCCAGCUCCCAAGCUCAGUCCUGCAAACGCGUUUGAAAAUGACGGCAGCUUUAUGGAAAUGUUUCGGCAGAUGCAAAAAGCCC
rnacentral:lncRNA from 1 species